CAACAGGGAUUGCCUCAGUAACGGCGAGUGAAGCGGCAACAGCUCAAAUUUGAAAUCUGGCUCUCGGGCCCGAGUUGUAAUUUGUAGAGGAUGCUUUUGGUGAGGUGCCUUCCGAGUUCCCUGGAACGGGACGCCAUAGAGGGUGAGAGCCCCGUCUGGUUGGACACCGAUCCUCUGUAAAGCUCCUUCGACGAGUCGAGUAGUUUGGGAAUGCUGCUCUAAAUGGGAGGUAUAUGUCUUCUAAAGCUAAAUACCGGCCAGAGACCGAUAGCGCACAAGUAGAGUGAUCGAAAGAUGAAAAGAACUUUGAAAAGAGAGUUAAAAAGUACGUGAAAUUGUUGAAAGGGAAGCGCUUGUGACCAGACUUGGGCUUGGUUGAUCAUCCGGGGUUCUCCCCGGUGCACUCUUCCGGCUCAGGCCAGCAUCAGUUCGCCCUGGGGGAUAAAGGCUUCGGGAAUGUGGCUCUCUCCGGGGAGUGUUAU
rnacentral:rRNA from 1 species